rnacentral:rRNA from 1 species
GAUGAACGCUAGCGGCAGGCUUAACACAUGCAAGUCGAGGGGCAGCACGAGGUAGCAAUACUUUGGUGGCGACCGGCGCACGGGUGCGUAACACGUAUCCAACCUGCCGUCUACUCUUGGACAGCCUUCUAGAAAGGAAGAUUAAUACAAGAUGGCAUCAUGAGUCCGCAUGUUCACAUGAAUUAAAGGUAUUCCGGUAGACGAGUGGGGAUGCGUUCCAUUAGAUAGUAGGCGGGGUAACGCCCACCUAGUCUUCGAUGGAUAGGGGUUCUGAGAGGAACGGUCCCCCCA